GUUAGGCGCCGCGGGAGUGAAGAAGAAGAAGACUGGAGGAGAGAGCGAUGUGAAGGCACUAGCAGGGAAGGAGCUGCUGUGUAGUUAGCUAGACGUUAACAGUGAAAAUGCGUAACUCACGCAUUUCUACUAACUGCUGAGAUAGAAUAAUGUAAGUGCACAACCCGUGAACUUUAAACGUUUUAUAUAUCUGAGGGUCGGAGUGUUUUGGAACAAUUUCUUCGACGAGGAGUCAAAGUUCUGCCAGCCUGCUAGUGAAUGUGCGUGAGAUAGCUAGCUUUUCUGGCUUGUUCGCCAACAUAGUGAACUGGAAAGUGUCUGCGCAACACAGAAGAUACAACAGUGAGAGAAACUUCCCUACGCUUCGACAGACACUCCAUCUGGCUGCAACACGGUAUUUAGAGGAGAGGAACCGCACAAGCUGGCGAAUCAUGGAAUCUUCGGGAGACUCAGUCCCUCCAGCAGCUGCACGGGCUGAUGGAGUCUGCCUCCCUGCCCCAGCGGUUCCACAGACAUGCAGCUGAGACAUUAACAGAUUGUUGCGUGCGACCCAGGGGCACCUUGAGAUGCUGACAGUGAUGACACCUGAUGACACUUGAUGGGAGAAGCCUGGGGCCCGUGGCAGGGCCAGGGCCUGAGUGCCACUCUUGCAGAUUGGAUAUCAGGUGAGCGGAGAGGGGGGUCAGAUCUUUGCUGACCUUCGAAGCAGGCCCCCUAUUUCUCUGCCGGCAAAUGGAAGGCAGAUUCACCCACACCAAUAAAGCCCCCUUUAGAGGGAUGGGCAGGAGAGGUGGUAUGGACUGAGCACUGUAUGUCAGCCCCUGAUUACAGGGCAGUUUUCCUAAUAUGUAAUUGCAAAUCAUUAUGGUGCGUGGGUGCGUAGUAAAUUAAUACUGCCAUGAAGAACAAUAAUGUGAAAAUGAGUAAGGCAUAAAAAAACAUUCAUCUGGUUAUGUUUGACAAGCCAUUUGUUCAUCUGAGCCAUCAUACUGGUGCUUUUGCAUGAACAAAAAGUAAUGUGAGCAUGUAAUGACAGCUAAAAUGUCCGUGUGUUGAGGCGUGAUUGAGAUCUAUUAUGUCUCAUCUGAAAUAGAUUUCACAAACUGGCUUGCUGGAAAGACAGUGGGUGUGUUGAAAUACCCUCCUGGAAGUGUUGAAAUCCCUCAUGAAGGUGUCCUUUGAGUACCCUAUAUGCCUACAUGCCUGCACUCAGCAGACACUCAUCUACCAAGUUCUAGCUGCGGUUGCCAAAUGUCCAAACUUGGUUCCAAUUUGACAUGUCUAGCAUCAAUAUCAUGUCUCCCUACUGCAAGUAAUCUGGUAUUUCACGGAAGUAAUCACUUUCCAUCAUUCAGACAUUCCACUCAGAAGCACAGCACCCCAGCCCUCAGUUCAGACAGCGCAGCAAACUCUAUAGCAGCUCAAUGUAUUAGUGAAAUAUUUACCAUUCCCCAUGACUCGUGAAGAAUGCGUGCGCCAGUCAGCCACUUGCUUAUUCCCUUAUGUUGGGGACCUGACCCAAACCUGCUUCACAGGCAAUGGCACUCCAUCAAGACUAUGCAAUAUGGAUGCUAGUCUUUGGCAAUGCUCAUGUGCAUCAGUAAGCAGCAAUACCAAAAACAUGUUUAACAUACUCCAAUGUAUCAGUUCUAUAUGUAAACGUAAGAUAUACACAACCAUAUGCACAUUUAUUAUCAUUUAUUCAUACUGUCAUGGUGAUUACUCUGCUCAAGUGUUGCUUAGCUACCCUUAUUUAUCAUUCUGUCCGACUGAGCAUGUCCCAUGUGCCUUAUUUCUGCAGUCAAUCACACCUCAGCUGGUUGCUAAACAUUCUGCAUAAAUUGUUUACUCUCCUGAGUUGCCACUGCUGUGAAAUUGUAAGCAUAUAUGUAUGUCAUGCUGCUGUCUCCUUGCAUUUCCAAUAGUAUUUCGACUGCCGAAACAAUCAGCCUGUGAAAAUUAUUGGUGAAGUAAGAGUUUCAAAUGUGAUGUGAAAUUCCCAGACUGGCCUAAGAUGGUGUCUUGUGAAAAUAGGUUACAGGAGUUGCCCAAUGGCUUUUCAUUUCAGGUGGAAGCAGUACAACAUGACUGAAUUUCAAAUGACCUAAAUCGUCAGAUCUUAGAAAGUCCUAGAAAGUCAUAUCCAACUCUUUGUCAGAUAAAAAAAAAUCUCCCUGUGAAAACGUGUAAUCGGUAAAGUACAAGUUCAAGCAUCAUCAGCAUCUUUUAAUAGUUAUUAAACCACAUCCUUUCUCAUGUUGCUCUCACGUGCCUUAAAAUGAAUAUACUUCCUAAUGUAUCAUAAUGUAUUUCAAUCAUUUAAAACAAACAAACUGCACUUCAAUGUAACUAAGCAACUGUCUUGGUGAAGUCUGUUGGUUCUACAUGUAUGUAGCAACAUGUCCAUUUUUAAGGGUAUUGAAUGUGGUUUUUCUAAGAGGGGCUCAGUAUUACCAGUCCUUAUAGGCAAGUCUCACCACUCGGCAGACAUCUUGGCAAUGCCACCAGGCUGUUUUGGGC
ensembl:lncRNA